NNNUACAAAAAUUGGAAUGAUACAGAGAUCCCAUUAGCAUGGCCCCUGCGCAAGGAUGACACGCAAAUUCGUGAAGUGUUCCAUAUUUUC
rnacentral:snRNA from 1 species